CACGAAGGGCAGCGGCUAUCAAGUGCAGUAUUUUCCCUCUUUGCGAAUAGGAAAAGAAAGCUUUGUUUUUCACUGAGCAGGCGCUUAUUUACAGGAUCAGCCACCCAAGGACUUUUCUUGUUUGAUUAGAGCCUGCCUCUUCACAGAACGCUUGCAUUUUAGAACCCGAGAAUCAUCUUUCUGGCACGCCAAUGAGGCUCUGCAAACUUUUCCGAUUCAACUUCUCACGCUGCAAUUUAGCUGUGCUUAGCCAAGGCUCCUUGUCUUCCUCCGAUGCAGCCCCAGUUCGCGGGUUCUACUCCUCGUUCUCCUACGAGGAUGAGCUGCAGAGUAUAGACGUCCCUGAUAUGAGCACGCAGCUACUGCCUUUUCAGAAGGAAGGUGUGGGAUGGAUGAUGCAGCGCGAAAUGAACCACAUCGGUGGCAUCAUGGCGGAUCAUCUCGGUAUGGGAAAAACAGUGCAGAUGAUUGGCUUGUGUCUGGUGUCUGACAAAGUGAACAAAGGAUUGUACUCGAAGCAAAUACGGCAACGGAUAAUGCUAGCUGAGGGGAGUCGCUUGAUGACGGUGCUUCGGCAGCUGCAGAGAAUCAGUGUCGUCGCUAACUGCUCGCGAAUCAACCGGCCGGCGGACGACCUUUCCUCACUCAUCGCCACUACCGCAGAUCUGCUGAAAACGAAACAGGGGAACUACAAGGGAGUUCGUGCAGAGAUUGACAAGUGGCUGACGUUUGCGGGCAAGUUUCAUCCUUCCUAUCAGAAGCGCGCGUUAGAUUUCCUCGAUGAUGUCGAAAGGAAGGAGUUUCAUCUCAUCAACUCAAAGGAAUUGCGCACCCUUGUUGUUGUUCCGGCGGCCCUCAUGCUCCAAUGGAAGUCUGAGAUCGAAUCUAAAGUGAAGGCUUCCCGAAAAAUCACCAUGUACCUCUACCACGGUGAGAGCAAGCUGAUCAGCAGCACGGAGCUUGAAACGUUUGACUUUGUCAUCACCACCUACGAUACACUUACGAACUCUGCGGCUUCGGCUUUUAUUCCCGGUGACGAUCCGCGAACGUUUGCCUUCAGUCGAAAAGAGGCUGGCCCGCUUUUUCACAUUCAGUGGAAACGAAUCAUUCUCGACGAGGCCCACAUGAUUCGCCACGCACGGACGCAACGCUGGCGCGCCGUUCAGGAGCUGCAAGGGCUUCACCGAUGGGCUGUGACGGCGACACCGCUGCACAACUCCAUCGAUGACUUGCAGAACCUUCUCCAUUUUAUCGGUCUUCCGCGUUUGCCUGUGUUGCCAGGAGGCAACGCCGAGGAGCUUCUCGCCGAUCCGUUGCUGCAGCGGAGUAUUGCAAAGUCUCUACAGCCGGCAUUUCUGCGACGUGGCCCAGUGAUGAUGCGAAAUGGUGUGAAGGAGGUCCUCGUAAAGCUUCCACCAAAGACGGAGGUCGUCAUUAAGCAGCCGUUCAGCGUGAGGGAGUCACACAUGUACAACAGCAUCUUGGCACGCUCAAGAAGCGCCUUGGCGACAUCAGAAAACAAAGAGGGCGUCUUUCAUAUCUUUGCCAUGAUGACGAGGCUUCGGCAGGCUUGCUGCCACAGCUGGAUCAGCCAGGGCCGUGCCGUUCAGAUCUCUGUUUGCGGCAUUUGCAAGAGUGAGGCAAGCUCGCCAGUGGCCACCAAGUGUGGCCACGCGUUCUGCCACGAGUGCUUGCUGCUGCGGUUCCGUGACGCGGUCGACGGCGACGACAUAGCCACGCGAAUCGAGUGCCCGACGUGCGCGCACACUAUUACCUUCAGCUCUGUGUUCAAAAGGACCACACCAAACUCAAGCCAGCGAAUUGCUCAAUACAAGAAUAAUGAGUUCGAGCUGAGCACGAAGCUCCGGAUGGUGCUGCGCUCUAUUCACGAUAUGCAGAAGAAUCAUCCCGCUGAUAAAAUGAUCAUUUUUUCCCAGUUCACCUCCUUCAUGGACGUCAUCAGCGUCGCGUUGGAUCGUUACAACAUUGCGUUUCUGCGCAUCGACGGGACAAUGUCGCUGUCCAACCGAAAUGCUGUCAUUCGUCAGUUUCAGACUAGCGAACACAUAAAGAUCGUGCUGGCAAGCAAGACAGCAACUGGUGUUGGCCUGAAUCUCACCGCGGCGAAUCACGUGGUGGUGGUCGAUCCUUGGUGGAACCCCGCCAUCGAAGAGCAGGCUGUGCACCGUUGCUAUCGCAUCGGGCAGAAGAAGCCGGUGUACGUAACGAGAUUCAUUAUUGCGGACACUAUUGAGCAAUACUGCUACGAAAUUUGCCAGCGGAAGAAAGAGUUUGGCGACGCAGUCCUGCGCGCCGCCACGGCGGGCGACUCAGGUGCCAAAGUAGCUGCCUCGCGCCUUCAAGAACUCAUGUCACGCCUGAAGUAUGUCGGAGACGGCGAGCAAGAGGACUCUGCCACGAAGGCGUCUGACGACGCGCGCGGCGGUGACAAAGGCGCACAGCAAACACCUUCAGCCACUGAGAAUGACGCCACUCACAACCGUGAAUUCAAUAGUCUCCACGGUCACAGCGAUGAAAGUGAGACCACCGUUGUGUAGGUUUGUCGAUUAUUUGCAGAUGAGAGGAAAGACUGCAUGAGAGAGGUGACGCUGCUCUGUUUCAUGUUUGUGUUGCACAUGCGCUGUACAUUUCGCACACGCAGGAAUAAAAGAAAAAAAAAGGAAAACAGGGAGAGAGUCGUGGCCGAUGAAACGUAUGAAGCAAGGCAAGUGCUCGCUAACAGGUGCUUGAGUGCGGGGGUGCACAGCUGUCGGCGAGCGCAGCUGCUUGACCUCUCCCUCUUGCAAGGUUGUUGAGGUGGUCGCCACAGUCUUACACUGUUCAAACCCCGCUCCUUUCGAGACACCAAGCCGUUUCAGGGAGACAUUUGUGGUCACAACACCCAUAGCCUUUUCUUGAUGUCUGUUGCAGAACUGCGCUUCUCCUCAUCCAUGUACAGCUGCGGUGAUGAGGCUGCAUAAAGUCCAUACGCGGAGUAAUAAGAGAAUGCAAAGGCAGCGAGAAGGUAUGUACUUCUCACAUCAUUCCCUCAUUGUACUCGCUCCUGUUCCCAUCGACUCUUUCUUCUUGAACCGUACUCUCUUUCUCCUUAACUGCGACACUUUCCUGUCCUGAAUCCCAACCGUCAAAAAUGCACGGCUUCGCUUUUCCAUGUUUCUUGCGCGCAACUAUUCUGCGUUUUCAUCCUCCUGCUGCUGCCCGGCCCACUUGAAG
rnacentral:misc_RNA from 1 species